GGACACAGUUGGAGAUUGGGAAUGCUAGCAAGGAAGAUUUCCCCCCCCCAAAAAAAAAAUCAAUUGGGCAAGUGUGAGGAAACAAAGAAGCCAUCAUUACUUUAUCAGGGAUGGGACUGAGGUUGGAAUCAUGUAAGAAUGCCAGAAUACCUGGCAUGGUAGAGGAUGCUUCUAAAAUGGCGGAUGUCAACUCUUCCCAUUGUUUGGCCGCGCAAAUCUGAUUGGUCAGAAAACGUGCGGAAGGCAGGUUCCUAAGAAGAUGAUUGGCCAGAAUUUACACCACCCAGAAGUAGGCAGGACAACCAGCUCCUAUUUCUGAAGAGGUCCCGGCGGCUUCACCUUCGCCCCUUUGUCAAAGAUGCCUCUCCAAAAUGCAGAAAGCCCUUCAUAUCCAUGUCACCCGAGGCUUCCUCUUGAUGGCUUGUUUAUGUGGUCUCAUAUCUCUGCUGUGUGUUUGUUUCUCGUUUGAGCAUAUGGAGCUAUAUCACAUAUCCGUUCUCAAAGCUGCUGUCGUGUUGAGCUUCAGUGGAGGUCUCUUCAUCCUAAUGGGUAUGUCUGUAUUCACAGCUGUUUACAGGAACUCCCAUUCCUACACCAAUUAUUUGCUCUACUUUGGUUCUUCCUAUGGCUUGGGUUGGGCCUCUCUUCCUAUGUAUGCCAUGACUGGGAUACUGCUAAUGCUGACUCAAAAAACCAUGGUCUCUGAACUCUGGGUACCCCCUCUUCCAUAA
rnacentral:lncRNA from 1 species